CUUCCUCUUGUUGCUUCUGCUGGGCACCAUCGCCACGAUCGUCGUCUUCUGCUGCUGGCACUGCAAGCUCCAGAAAGGGAGGCAUCUGAUGAAAUCUGUCUUUUCGGGUCGUUCAAGGAGCCGAGGGAUGCAGAUCGGUUCCUGUUAGAUGCAAGAAAUGCCCAAGCUUUAGAUGUGGGUUGGCUUGUGUUUGAUGUUACUGUGACCAGCAAUCACUGGGUAAUUAAUCCACAGAACAAUUUGGGCUUACAGCUCUGUGCAGAAACAGGAGAUGUUUGACCAAGCAGCUGAUGCUGAGUUAUCCUGGAUUAUAGAAACAGAGAAGAAAUUGAUGUCUUUGGGUGAUAUCAGGCUUGAGCAAGACCAGACCUCUGCUCAGCUGCAGGUUCAAAAGACAUUCACCAUGGAGAUUUUGAGACACAAAGAUAUUAUUGAUGAACUUGUUAAAUCUGGACAUAAAAUCAUGACCACAUGCAGAGAAGAGGAAAAGCAAUCAAUGAAGAAAAAACUGGACAAGAUAUUGAAGAAUUAUGAUACCAUCCGCCAGAUGAACUCAGAGAGGUCCCUACAGCUAGAAAGGGCACAGUCCCUGGUUAACCAUUUCUGGGAGACAUAUGAAGAACUUUGGUCAUGGCUGACAGAAACAGAAAGAAUCAUCUCUCAGCUUCCUGCCCCAGCUCUUGAAUAUGAAACUCUAAGACAGCAGCAGGAAGAACAAAGGCAACUGCGAGAGCUGAUAGCCGAACUCAAACCUCAUAUAGAUAAGAUGAGCAAAACUGGGCCACAGUUGCUGGAAUUGAGCCCAAGGGAAGGCUUUUCCCUCUAAGAGAAGUAUGUGGCAGCUGACACCCUUUACAGUCAAAUUAAAGAAAAUGUCAAAAAGCGAGCUGUGGCCCUGGAUGAAGCCAUUUCUCAAUCUACUCAGUUUCAUGACAAAAUCGACCAGGUCCUGGAGAGCCUCGAACGCAUGGUGGAGCUUUUGAGGCAGCACCUUCUAUCUCUGCUGAGGUGGAGAAGAUUAAGGAGCAGAUCAGUGACAAUAAGAACGUGUCAGUAGACAUGGAGAACCUACAACCAUUGUAUGAAACUCUUAAACAGAGGGGAGAGGAAAUGAUUGCUCGCUCUGGGGGCACCGACAAAGAUGUAUCUGCCAAAGCUGUUCAGUGUAAGGUUGAGAGAAUGGUUUUCUUUUGGGAGAACAUACACAUGCUGGUGGAGGUAAGGGAAGCCAAACUACUGGAUGUAAUGGACUUAGCAGAGAAGUUCUGGUGUGAUCACAUGUUGCUGGUGAUUACCACUAAAGAUGCACAAGCUUUCAUCCGGGAUCUGGAGGAUCCUGGCAUUGAUUCCCUAGUGAUAAAACAACAGCAAGAAGCAGCAGAGUCCAAGAGGGAAGAAAUAGAUGGGCUGCAAGAAGAGCUGGAUAUAGUCAUCAACCUGGGUUCUGAACUCAUCGCUGCGUGUGGGGAACCAGAUAAACCCAUUGUCAAGAAGUGUGUAGAUGAGUUACAUUCAGCGUGGGAUUCUCUCAAUAAAGCUUGGAAAGACCGGGUGGACAAACUGGAGGAGGCAAUGCAGGCCGCUGUUCAGUACCAGGACAGCCUGCAGGCAAUAUUCGACUGGGUGGAUAUUGCAGGUGCUGAAUUAGCUUCUAUGUCUCCAAUUAGAACAGAACUUGACUUCGUUGUCAAGGAGCAGAUCGAAGAGCUAAAGAACAAACUGUCCUUAUAUAUCCCUCUUUUUAAAAAAGAGCAAUUUAAGUCAGAGGCCUACCAACAACAGAUAGAAAUGGAAAGACUGAACCACCAAGCAGAGCUUCUGCUGAAGAAAGCAGAACAGAGUCACAAACAUACAGUUCAAGACCCAUUAAUGGAACUGAAAUCAAUAUGGGAUAGUCUGAAUGAGAGAAUUAUCAACCAACAGCAUAAGCUGGGGGGUGCUCUGUUAGCACUGGGGCAGUUGCAGCAUGCUCUUGACAAACUGUUGGCCUGGCUGACUCACACUGAGGGCUUGCUAAGUGAGCAGAAACCUGUUGAAGGAGACCCUAAAGCCAUCGAAAUUGAACUUGCCAAGCAUCACGUGCUUCAAAAUGAUGUAUUAGCCCAUCUGUCCACUGUGGAAGCUGUUAACAAAGCAGUAAAUGAUCUUAUUGAAUCAAGUGCAGGUGAAGAAGCAAACAACCUUCAGAACAAACUGGAGGUUUUGAAUCAACACUGGCAAAAUGUUUUGGAAAAGACAGAGCAAAGGAAGCAGCAGCUGGAUGAUGCCUUGCGCCAGGUGCAUGAGAAUGCAGCCAGAAGCUUCCACCGUGAAAUUGAGGUUUUGCAACAGUGGCUGACUGACACAGAGUGUCAUCUGUUAGCAUCCAAGCCUCUGGGAGGUUUGCCAGAAACAGCCAGGGAGCAGCUUGACGCCCACAUGGAAAUCUGUGCUGCCUUUGAUGUUAUAGAAGAGACAUAUAGAAGCCUGAUGCAGAAACACCAGCAGAUGCUUGCAAGAUGCCCAAAAUCUGCAGAGACAAAUAUUGACCAAGACAUAAAUAACUUGAAAGAAAAAUGGGAAUCUGUGGAAACCAAACUCAAUGAAAGAAAAACUAAACUGGAAGAGGCCCUCAACUUGGCAUUGGAGUUCCACAAUUCUCUCCAAGAGUUCAUCAACUGGCUUACCCAGGCGGAACAGACCCUAAAUGUAGCUUCUCAGCCAAGUCUUAUCUUGGACACAGUCUUAUUUGAAAUGGACGAACACAAGGUCUUUGCCAGUGAAGUAAAUUCUCACCGUGGUCAGAUAAUAGAGCUGGACAGAACUGGAACCCACCGGAAGUAUUUCAGUCAGAAACAAGAUGUUGUCCUAAUUAAAAAUCUACUGAUCAGUGUACAAAGUCGAUGGGAAAAAAUGGUUCAACGGUUGGUAGAAAGAGGAAGAUCCUUGGAUGAUGCAAAGAAGAGGGCCAAGCAGUUCCACGAAGCUUGGAGUAAACUUAUGGAGUGGCUGGAAGAGUCAGAAAACUCUUUGGAUUCUGAACUGGAAAUCGCCAACGAUCCAGAUGAAAUAAAAACACAACUUGCACAGCUCAAGGAGUUUCAGAAAUCACUGGGAGCCAAGCAUUCUGUCUAUGACACCACCACCAGAACUGGACAUUCUCUGAAGGAGAAAACCUCCCUGGCUGACGACAAUCUGAAACUGGAUGACAUGCUGACUGAUCUCAAAGAGAAAUUGGACACGAUCUGUGGGAAAUCUGGGCAAAGGCAAAACAAGUUGGAAGAAGCCCUGUUAUUCUCUGGACAAUUCACAGAUGCCCUGCAGGCCCUCAGUGACUGGUUGUAUAGAGUUGAACCCCAACUGGCAGAAGACCAGCCUGUCCAUGGGGAUGUUAGUUUAGUGAUUUAUAUGAUCAAAAAUCACAAGGUCUUCCAAAAAGAGCUGGAGAAGAGGGCCAGCAGCGUGCAGGCCCUGGAGCGCUCGGCCGGAGAGCUCACAGAAGGCAACCGAGAGGACUCCUCCUGGGUCAAGGUCCAGAUGCAGGAGUUAGGCACCCCUGGGACACCGUGUGCGCACUUUCUGUAUUAAAGCAAACACGGCUGGAGGCGGCUCUGUGUCAGGAAUUCAUGAAGAAACUGGAAGAAAAACAAGCAGAACUAAAUAAAGCUACCAGCAUGGGAAACGCUCUGCUGGCCCUCUGCCCCACUGACUGCAGCACCACCUUUAAGAACUGGAUAACACUCAUCUGGGCCAGGUUUGAGGAGGUGGUGGCGUGCACCCAGCAGUAUCAGCAGAGGUUAGUUGGCGCCCUGGCUGGGCUCCUCACUACACAGGAACUGUUGGAAACUCUACUGGUGCGGCUGCAAUGGGCCAAAACCACACUGAGUGAUAAGGAUAAGGAAGUCAUCCCCCAGGAAACUGAAGAGGUGAAAGCCUUUGUUGCAGAGCACCAGACCUUCGUGGAGGAAAUGACCAGAAAACAACCCGAUGUGGAUAAAGUUACCAAGACCUAUAAGCGGAAAGCAGCUGAUCCUGUUCUGGCCUUGGAUAAGGACAAGCAGGAAAGAGGCAGUGGUCAAUUUCUUUAAAAUAAAUAUGGUUAAGCAAGAAAGUCAGUUUUAUUUUGAAUUACCGUUUGAAAUUUUAGAGCAAUUGGUGAUUCUACAUGAGCUCUCUAUCAGAAAAGGUUUUCUUGAAAGAAUGCAUGGGCUCAAGUAUGGUAGCAACUUAUUUAAAAAUAAAGAAGCAGAUAUAUCCAGGUUUCUAUAUGUAACUGUAUUUGCUUGAAGUACGUCUUUUAGAUUAGCUAGAAGAAAUUGGAAAAACUUGCAGUAAGAACAGGAAUCAUUAUCCCUUUUGAGUUGUCUCAUUUUGCUUCUGUGAUAUAAAUAACUGUAAAGUGGAAUGUAACAGAAAUAACCAUGACCUGGAUGAAGUCCAUGACCUAACUGUUCAUUAGUGAUCAGCAAUCUGAUGGAUUUUGCCCAUGUUCAUGUGACUUCAGGCUCUUAUUUACAUAAUUCUCAGGCUACCUUGACCUAACAAAAUGACAUGAAAAACAAUAACAGCUAGCUUGAGGAUUUAAAAGAAGCACAAUUUAGGUCAUACAUUUUUGUGUAUUUCUGAAUAGUGCCUUAAUUUAAAAAAAAAUAUUUUUAUAUCUGUUGUAGUGAUGCCAUUGCACCGGGAACCUUCAUAGGGGUUAACAGCUCCGGGGACGGACUCCUGGCUGUCCCCACCACUUACCAGAGGGGAACAGUAACCCUGACAAGUUACUUAAACUCCCUCUGAGCCUCAGUUUCCUCAUAUGUAAAAGGGAAUAAUUAUAAUUCAUAAGACUGUGGUGAGGAUUAAAUGUGUUUAUGUGGAUGAACUACUUAACAUCUUUCCUGGCAUAUACUUAAAUGUUCAAUAAAUGUCAGCUAUUGAUACUUUUGUAUAGCCCCAUGACAAGUAAGAAUUCUAGGCAAAUCCCAGCUUGGACACUAGCUUCCUAUGUGAUGUUAAGCCAGUAAUUUUUCUUGACCACACUUAACCAUUUGGUUAGAUGAGGAAAAUGCAUUGAGAGAAUUGUUCUGUGAAGCUACAGAAAAUUGUGGAAAAGCAGCCAGAAAGAAGAGGGGAAAAACUGUAGGAAGGCAGUACAUCUGGGUGUGGGACUAUAUACCUGAUACACAACCUCAGAGGAAAACGGACUUGGGUGAAAGCCGGGAUUCUGCACAGCCUUCAGUAUUUGCUCAGACUUUGUAAGGUGCCUGGACUCCAGUGAAUGUCCGUGUCUCCUGCUUUCGCCUGCCCUCCUUGCAGCCUGUUUGUCUAAGAGGAGCAGCUGGGUUUGUGUAACUGAUUCUAAGAUAUGUGUCACCAUCCUGGGCGAUUCCUUCUGUUAUGCCUUAACAAAGAGGAGGAUCACAAGGCACUUCAUUGUCACUGACAUGGCACAGAUUUUAAGCUGGAAAAUGUUUCAAGCAUAAAUUUUUUGAGAAUCUUUUCCAGUUAAAUACCCCUAGGAACAAUAAAUGCACUCCAGGGGUGCAGCCUUGGGGCCUUUCGAAGGUGCCCUGACUUACCCCCAUGGAGGUGUACUGGUGGGGGAGGGGCCGAGACCCCGGCACUAUGGGGCUGUAGCCUGUGGGACUAGGAGGGGGUCUUGGUAGACCCUAAGGUCUGUGCUGGCAGAGGAGGAGUCGGGCCAGUGGCACUCCUGGGGUGUAGCCUUGCAGUCCCUUGUGGGUAUAUCGGAGGGAGUCCUGGCAGACCCUAAGGUCUGGGCUGGAAGGGAAGGGGUCGGCCAGAGGCAUUCCAAGGAUGCAGCCUUGGGGCCUAUUGGAGGAUUCCUGGAGGGCCACUCUGUGUCUGUGCUGGUGGGGGAGGGCCAGGGAUAGUGGCACUCGAGGGGUGCCGCCUAGGGGCCUAUCGGAGAGGGGUCGUGGUGUACACCUAUGGGUGUGUGCUGCACCGGACACUCCGGGACUGCAGCACUCCAAGGGUGAAGCCUUGAUGAUGGGAGGGGCCUGGCAGACCCUAUGAUCUGAGCUGGCGGGGGAGGGGUUGGGCCAGUGGCACUCCAGGGCUGAAGCCUUGGGGGACUAUGGGAGAGGGGUCCUGGUGGACCCCUAUGGGUCUGUGCUGGUGGGGGAGGGGUCAGCUCAGUGGCACUGCAGGGCUGCAACCUUGAGGGACUAUGGGAGGAACCUCUGGCUGACCCCUAAGGGUCUGUGCUGGUUGGGGAGAUGUUUGGCCAGAGGCACUCCAGGUGUGAAACCUUGCGGCCUAUCGGAGGGGUCAUGGUGUAACCCUAUGGGUCUGUGCUGGUGGGGGACAGGUUGGCUAUGAACAAGAGCUUCAAUUUUCCAUAAGUUUCGUGACCUCAUAGUUCCUUGAAUAAUUAGACACAUGUUGGAAUGUUUGUUUUAAGGAAAAUGAGCACUGAACUGAUGUGAAUCUAUUUUUCUAAGUUUCUUCACCUUUAGACACUAUCGGCCAUUUUAUUCUUCCUUUAUUCCUUAAAAUGUUUUUGUUGAAACAUAGAUGAUUAAAAACAUAAUGCUGGUUUCAGAUGAGCAACAAAAUGAUCCAUCAAUUGCUUAUGGUACCAAAGCCUCACCAUAAGUGUAGUUAUUAUGUCACCAUAAAUAUAUUGCAAUAUUAUUAGCUCUAUGGCCUGUGCUGUACUUGCAUCCCUGUGACUAAAUUAUUUAAUAAAUUGAAGUUUGUAACUCUA